CGAUAGUGAACCAGUACUGUGAAGGAAAGGCGAAAAGAACCCCGGUGAGGGGAGUGAAAUAGAACCUGAAACCUUGUACGUACAAGCAGUGGGAGCCUGAAAGGGUGACUGCGUACCUUUUGUAUAAUGGGUCAGCGACUUAUAUUUUGUAGCGAGGUUAACCGAAUAGGGGAGCCGAAGGGAAACCGAGUCUUAACUGGGCGAAUAGUUGCAAGGUAUAGACCCGAAACCCGGUGAUCUAGCCAUGGGCAGGUUGAAGGUUGGGUAACACUAACUGGAGGACCGAACCGACUAAUGUUGAAAAAUUAGCGGAUGACUUGUGGCUGGGGGUGAAAGGCCAAUCAAACCGGGAGAUAGCUGGUUCUCCCCGAAAUCUAUUUAGGUAGAGCCUUGAGCGGACACCUUUGGGGGUAGAGCACUGUUUCGGCUAGGGGUCCAUCCCGGAUUACCAACCCGAUGCAAACUACGAAUACCAAAGAGUGAUACUCAGGAGACACACGGCGGGUGCUAACGUCCGUCGUGGAGAGGGAAACAACCCAGACCGCCAGCUAAGGUCCCAAAGUCUAUAUUAAGUGGGAAACGAAGUGGGAAGGCUUAGACAGCUAGGAUGUUGGCUUAGAAGCAGCCAUCAUUUAAAGAAAGCGUAAUAGCUCACUAGUCGAGUCGGCCUGCGCGGAAGAUGUAACGGGGCUGAAAUAUAGCACCGAAGCUGCGGCAUCAGAUGUAAGUCUGUUGGGUAGGGGAGCGUUGUGUAAGCGGAUGAAGGUUAAUCGAGAGGUUAGCUGGACGUAUCACAAGUGCGAAUGCUGACAUAAGUAACGAUAAAACGAGUGAAAAACUCGUUCGCCGGAAGACCAAGGGUUCCUGUCCAACGUUAAUCGGGGCAGGGUGAGUCGGCCCCUAAGGCGAGGCUGAAAAGCGUAGUCGAUGGGAAACAGGUUAAUAUUCCUGUACUUGGUAAAGCUGCGAUGUGGGGACGGAGUAGGUUAGGUUAGCGUGCUGUUGGAUAUGCACGUUUAAGUUGGUAGGUGGGAAGUUUAGGCAAAUCCGGACUUCCUUAACACUGAGAGAUGAUGACGAGGCUCUACGGAGCUGAAGUAACUGAUACCACACUUCCAGGAAAAGCCACUAAGCGACAGGCUUUACUAAACCGUACUGAAAACCGACACAGGUGGUCAGGUAGAGAAUACUCAGGCGCUUGAGAGAACUCGGGUGAAGGAACUAGGCAAAAUAGCACCGUAACUUCGGGAGAAGGUGCGCCGGCGUAGAUUGUAAGGGCUAGCCCCUGAAGGUUGAACCGGUCGAAGAUACCAGCUGGCUGCAACUGUUUAUUAAAAACACAGCACUCUGCAAACACGAAAGUGGACGUAUAGGGUGUGAUGCCUGCCCGGUGCUGGAAGGUUAAUUGAUGGUGUAAUCGAAAGAGAAGCACCUGAUCGAAGCCCCAGUAAACGGCGGCCGUAACUAUAACGGUCCUAAGGUAGCGAAAUUCCUUGUCGGGUAAGUUCCGACCUGCACGAAUGGCAUAAUGAUGGCCAGGCUGUCUCCACCCGAGACUCAGUGAAAUUGAAAUCGCCGUGAAGAUGCGGUGUACCCGCGGCUAGACGGAAAGACCCCGUGAACCUUUACUAUAGCUUGACACUGAACAUUGAAUUUUGAUGUGUAGGAUAGGUGGGAGACUAAGAAGUAGGAACGCCAGUUUCUAUGGAGUCGUCCUUGAAAUACCACCCUUUAACGUUUGAUGUUCUAACGAAGAUUACGAAACGUGGUCUCGGACAGUGUCUGGUGGGUAGUUUGACUGGGGCGGUCUCCUCCCAAAGCGUAACGGAGGAGCACGAAGGUUUGCUAAUCACGGU
rnacentral:rRNA from 1 species